GCUAAUACAUGCAAGUCGAACGCACAGCGAAAGGUGCUUGCACCUUUCAAGUGAGUGGCGAACGGGUGAGUAACACGUGGACAACCUGCCUCAAGGCUGGGGAUAACAUUUGGAAACAGAUGCUAAUACCGAAUAAAACUUAGUGUCGCAUGACACAAAGUUAAAAGGCGCUUCGGCGUCACCUAGAGAUGGAUCCGCGGUGCAUUAGUUAGUUGGUGGGGUAAAGGCCUACCAAGACAAUGAUGCAUAGCCGAGUUGAGAGACUGAUCGGCCACAUUGGGACUGAGACACGGCCCAAACUCCUACGGGAGGCUGCAGUAGGGAAUCUUCCACAAUGGGCGAAAGCCUGAUGGAGCAACGCCGCGUGUGUGAUGAAGGCUUUCGGGUCGUAAAGCACUGUUGUAUGGGAAGAACAGCUAGAAUAGGAAAUGAUUUUAGUUUGACGGUACCAUACCAGAAAGGGACGGCUAAAUACGUGCCAGCAGCCGCGGUAAUACGUAUGUCCCGAGCGUUAUCCGGAUUUAUUGGGCGUAAAGCGAGCGCAGACGGUUUAUUAAGUCUGAUGUGAAAGCCCGGAGCUCAACUCCGGAAUGGCAUUGGAAACUGGUUAACUUGAGUGCAGUAGAGGUAAGUGGAACUCCAUGUGUAGCGGUGGAAUGCGUAGAUAUAUGGAAGAACACCAGUGGCGAAGGCGGCUUACUGGACUGCAACUGACGUUGAGGCUCGAAAGUGUGGGUAGCAAACAGGAUUAGAUACCCUGGUAGUCCACACCGUAAACGAUGAACACUAGGUGUUAGGAGGUUUCCGCCUCUUAGUGCCGAAGCUAACGCAUUAAGUGUUCCGCCUGGGGAGUACGACCGCAAGGUUGAAACUCAAAGGAAUUGACGGGGACCCGCACAAGCGGUGGAGCAUGUGGUUUAAUUCGAAGCAACGCGAAGAACCUUACCAGGUCUUGACAUCCUUUGAAGCUUUAGAAGAUAGAAGUGUUCUCUUCGGAGACAAAUGACAGGUGGUGCAUGGUCGUCGUCAGCUCGUGUCGUGAGAUGUUUGGGUUAAGUCCCGCAACGAGCGCAACCCUUAUUGUUAGUUGCCAGCAUUCAGAUGGGCACUCUAGCGAGACUGCCGUGACAAACCGGAGAAGGGGGGGACAA
rnacentral:rRNA from 1 species